rnacentral:rRNA from 1 species
GACAGAGGUGCCGAGCGUUAUGCGGAAUCACUGGGCUUAAAGCGUGUGUAGGCGGACGGGUAAGUACCUUGUGAAAUCCCACGGCUCAACCGUGGAACUGCUGGGUAUACUGCCUGUCUUGAGUCAUCUAGGGGCGAGCGGAACAAAUGGUGGAGCGGUGAAAUGCGUAGAUAUCAGGAGGAACACCUGCGGUGUAGACGGCUUACUGGACGGUAACUGACGCUGAGGCACGAAAGCGUGGGUAGCAAACAGG